rnacentral:rRNA from 1 species
GGCCUUCGGGUUGUAAACUGCUUUUGUACGGAACGAAAAGGCCCUGGUGAACAACCGGGGUUGCUGACGGUACCGUAAGAAUAAGCACCGGCUAACUACGUGCCAGCAGCCGCGGUAAUACGUAGGGUGCGAGCGUUAAUCGGAAUUACUGGGCGUAAAGCGUGCGCAGGCGGACAUGCAAGACAGAUGUGAAAUCCCCGGGCUCAACCUGGGAACUGCAUAUGUGACUGUAUGACUGGAGUACGGCAGAGGGGGAUGGAAUUCCGCGUGUAGCAGUGAAAUGCGUAGAUAUGCGGAGGAACACCGAUGGCGAAGGCAAUCCCCUGGGCCAGUACUGACGCUCAUGCACGAAAGCGUGGGGAGCAAACAGGAUAAAUACCCUGGUAGUCC